GAUGAAGAACGCAGCGAAAUGCGAUAAGUAAUGUGAAUUGCAGAAUUCAGUGAACCAUCGAAUCUUUGAACGCACAUUGCGCCCGCCAGUAUUCUGGCGGGCAUGCCUGUCCGAGCGUCAUCUCAACCCUCGAGCCCCCCCGGGGGCUCGGCGUUGGGGACCGGCCCCGCCCCAGGGCGCGCCGCCCCCCAAAUCCAGUGGCGGUCCCGCCGCAGCCUCCCCUGCGCAGUAGCUUGCACACUCGCACCGGGGAGCGGCGCGGCCACGCCGUAAAACCCCCCGACCACGGAGCCCCGGCUCCUGAACGUUGACCUCGGAUCAGGUAGGAAUACCCGCUGAACUUAAGCAUAUCAAUAAGCGGAGGA
rnacentral:misc_RNA from 1 species